UACGAGGGGGGCGAGCGUUGUUCGGAAUUACUGGGCGUAAAGGGCGCGUAGGCGGCCUGCUAAGUCGAACGUGAAAUCCCUGGGCUCAACCCAGGAACUGCGUCCGAUACUGGUUGGCUUGAAUCCGGGAGAGGGACGUGGAAUUCCAGGUGUAGCGGUGAAAUGCGCAGAUAUCAGGAAGAACACCCGUGGCGAAGGCGGCUCUCUGGGACGGUACUGACGCUGAGACGCGAAAGCGUGGGGAGCGAACAGG
rnacentral:rRNA from 1 species